rnacentral:rRNA from 1 species
ACAAGUCGAGCGAACAGAUGAGAAGCUUGCUUCUCUGAUGUUAGCGGCGGACGGGUGAGUAACACGUGGGUAACCUACCUAUAAGACUGGGAUAACUCCGGGAAACCGGGGCUAAUACCGGAUAAUAUUUUGAACCGCAUGGUUCAAUAGUGAAAGACGGUUUCGGCUGUCACUUAUAGAUGGACCCGCGCCGUAUUAGCUAGUUGGUAAGGUAAUGGCUUACCAAGGCGACGAUACGUAGCCGACCUGAGAGGGUGAUCGGCCACACUGGAACUGAGACACGGUCCAGACUCCUACGGGAGGCAGCAGUAGGGAAUCUUCCGCAAUGGGCGAAAGCCUGACGGAGCAACGCCGCGUGAGUGAUGAAGGUCUUCGGAUCGUAAAACUCUGUUGUUAGGGAAGAACAAAUUUGUUAGUAACUGAACAAGUCUUGACGGUACCUAACCAGAAAGCCACGGCUACCUACGUGCCAGCAGCCGCGGUAAUACGUAGGUGGCAAGCGUUAUCCGGAAUUAUUGGGCGUAAAGCGCGCGUAGGCGGUUUCUUAUUUCUGAUGUGAA